rnacentral:rRNA from 1 species
ACGAACGCUGGCGGCGUGCUUAACACAUGCAAGUCGAACGGAAAGGCCCUGCUUUUGUGGGGUGCUCGAGUGGCGAACGGGUGAGUAACACGUGAGUAACCUGCCCUUGACUUUGGGAUAACUUCAGGAAACUGGGGCUAAUACCGGAUAGGAGCUCCUGCUGCAUGGUGGGGGUUGGAAAGUUUCGGCGGUUGGGGAUGGACUCGCGGCUUAUCAGCUUGUUGGUGGGGUAGUGGCUUACCAAGGCUUUGACGGGUAGCCGGCCUGAGAGGGCGACCGGCCACAUUGGGACUGAGAUACGGCCCAGACUCCUACGGGAGGCAGCAGUGGGGAAUAUUGCACAAUGGGCGGAAGCCUGAUGCAGCAACGCCGCGUGCGGGAUGACGGCCUUCGGGUUGUAAACCGCUUUCGCCUGUGACGAAGCGUGAGUGACGGUAAUGGGUAAAGAAGCACCGGCUAACUACGUG